GUCAAUGCUGAGGAUCCUCCUAUGGUUGUGGUCCGAAAAUUUGUCCACCUGCUGGACCAAAGUGACCAGGAUUUUCAGGAGGAGCUUGACCUUAUGAAGAUGCGGGAAGAGGUUAUCACCCUCAUUCGUUCUAACCAGCAGCUGGAGAAUGACCUCAAUCUCAUGGAUAUCAAAAUUGGACUGCUAGUGAAAAAUAAGAUUACAUUGCAGGUAUGGCCCAGUGCCAGCGGGGGCCUUGGAACACUUCAUCCUGUUUUGUAACCCCUGCAUUCCCCUUUCUGACUGGUGGGGAGGAUGGAGGCUGACUUUCUUCUCAGCUACUGCCAUAAGAGCUUUUUUUUUUCUUUUGACUGAGUCUCACUCUGUUGCCCAGGUUGCAGUGAGCCAAGAUGGCACCACUGCACUCCGGACUGGGUGACAGAGUGAAACUCUAUCUCCA
rnacentral:sRNA from 1 species